CCACCCUCCACCCCUCCAUCCUACACACCCAAAACCCCUUCGUCCUCCCCCACCCUCUACCCCUCCAUCCCCUCCACCACUCUUUCUUUGGAUAUAUAAAGCCUACCCAUCUCUCACAUUUUUCCACAUUUGAGACAUACACAAACAUAUUUUCCUUUGCAUUUUGGACACUUUCUCUGUGAUUUUCUCGAAAGCCAAACGUUCUCAACGAUGGCCGAUCAGCUCACCGACGAUAAAAUCUCCGAGUUCAAGGAGGCGUUCAGCCUAUUCGACAAGGAUGGCGAUGGCCUCGUUCUUAGAUCCCUCUCUCUCUCUCUCUCUCUCUCUCUCUCUCUCUCUCUCUCUCUCUCUUUCCCUUUUGUUCUUAUUUUGCCCACUUAAUCUAUGAUAUUUGGAUCUAAAGCUGUUAUUGCAUCAAACCUUAACCUUUUUCUGGUGAAAAAUUGUGAUUGAUUGAGUAUUGUUAGAGAUUGAAUUGAUUUAUCAUCCUCCGAGUGCGUUUUGAUCAUUGAGGAUAAGAUCUGUUAGAUUUGAGGUUAAAUGUGUGGAAUUUAAAUAUAUGGAUAGAUUAUGAUUCUCAUAUUCGUUUCCUCCAUUGUUUGGAUUAUCCAAUUUUUGGUAAAAGUGGGUCUUUGAUUCAAUUUCUCUGUUAUGGUUUUGGAGUUGCAGAAUUAAUUAUUCUUGUAUUGGGAUGGAGGGGUAGAGCCGUGGAGCCGUGGAGGGGGUGGAGGGGUCUUUGAUUCAAUUUCUCUGUUAUGGUUUUGGAGCUGCACAAUUUGUUCUCUUUGCAAUUUGAAUACCCAUAAAAGUGGGUCUUUGAUUCAAUUUCAUGCAUCAGGACACCAUGUCGAGUCCAGGAAAGUUGAGAAGAAAGGUGUUGGGUCUGCUGCUGGGUUGGUUGUGAAAGUUGCAUUCACCCAGCAGAAUUGCACAGCAUCAAGACAAUCUAAAUCAAGUGGGUUCUACGGGAUGGAAGAAAUCACAAAAGCUUUUGCCGUGGUGGAGCAAACGGCAGAAGGCAGUGAUGUAGGACAAGCCAAGGGUUCUCGGGAAGACAAGAAUGGAUGACCUGGGAAUCACUCAAUCAGGGACAACGGAGCUCGCUCAUGUCGCUAAUCGUGAAUUCGCUCACACCACCAAGUCAAAUGCUUGAUUUUAGAAGGAGAAAUCACUCUCUUCAAAUGCACAAGGCAAAUACAAUUUUAAUUCAUUCAAGUCUGCCCAUUCAAGGCUUUCUAGUACAA